CGCUCUAGCUAACAUCUUUGUCAUUGUUGGACUUGCUGCAUUUGCAUACACAGUGAAAUAUGUUCUGAAGAGUAUUGUGGAGUAAACUGUCAGUAAAGUGUCAAAUAUCAUGACCUUUGUCAAGGGUUGUACUGGAAUGUCUUUCAUUUAAUCUUCGUGUAAGAUGUACAGUAACCAUGGUAUGUACUACGACAUGUACUAGUACAGUUAUCAUGUUAUGUACUACUGGUACAGGAAUCAUGUUAUGUACUACUAGUACAGUAAUCAUGUAUGAACUACAAGGACUUUUACAGGGCACUGUAUUGUCAGCGCUCUGCUUGAGGAAUGCAUUAUUUAUUUUAACUCAUUGAAAUAGAAUUUAAAGAACAGUACUGAUAAAUUAAUUUUGGAUUUUGAAGUUGUAAAUGAUGCCCCUAAUUAUAAAUACUGUAUACAGGGUUAUUUACGCCCCAAAUUAUUUUCGCCCUUCUUCACUUUCAAACGGUUUCGUCCUGUCUUGAAUUCUUGAAUAAGUUUGUUUUAAAGAGAGAAAAUGUAAGACUUUGGAAGUUGCCCAGUCUUAAAUUCGCCCGCUGACAACGAGGGCAAAAGGGGCAAAAAUAGAAAGGGGGCGAAUAUUUCCCUGUAUACAGUAUGAAGAAUGGUGCACCUCAAAACUUUAUUUUGUAUGCUGUAUGAACUGUCAUUUGAAUCUCUCUGAUAUGUAUGGAUAAAAAAAAUGAGCCAUUCCCGUUGGAAAUUGUAUCAUAUAUAGGGUUGUAAUUGAUAGUCAUAUAGUAUGUGGGAUUGGUCGAGUGAGUUAUGUCCUGUCCAAUUGGAUCUUGCUGCAAAACAAGGUUCGGUGUUUUUUCUUUCAUAUCAAACUUUGUUGGAGAUGCAUAUAUCCUUGGUAUGGAAACUGCCUCAUAUUAAUGUAUUAUUCACUUGCCUUUUAUUUCUAUACCUUUUACCAAUUAUUGUUUAAAAUCUGAAUUCAAUUAGAAAUUUGAUCGAUUGUUUCUAUGACAAAAUGAAAGUCACCUUGUAUGUUUUAUGAUUUUAUUGUUUUUAAAUUAAGGAAAAUAAAAGUGUGUAUUAAUUUAUCGUAGGAAAAAAUAAACGAAAUGCCAUUGUGAAAAGCAAAAUGAUUUGUCUCGGAGAUUUACUGUAAUACAAUGUUAUGUAUUUUAUGCUUAUUCCUUUAUUUCAGUUUUAGUGAAUUGAUUAUGUUUUUUAAUUACCUUAUGGAUUUGAUUGGAAGAUUGUAUCUUGUACCCUUUAUUUAAUGCUUAUUUUGGUAAUAACUUUUUAUUCUGGUAUAAAUUAGAUUAACAAGUACGAAAUUACAUAAAUACACAUUUUGUUCUAACAUACUAUUCCAUCAGUUGUUAUAUGUAUCAUUUAGUUAAAGAUAUGUUGAAUAUUUUUUAGAGAAGUUAAAUAAAACAUUUGUUCAUGUU
rnacentral:misc_RNA from 1 species